rnacentral:rRNA from 1 species
UGGGGAAUAUUGCACAAUGGGCGCAAGCCUGAUGCAGCCAUGCCGCGUGUGUGAAGAAGGCCUUCGGGUUGUAAAGCACUUUCAGCGAGGAGGAAGGUGGUGAGCUUAAUACGCUCAUCAAUUGACGUUACUCGCAGAAGAAGCACCGGCUAACUCCGUGCCAGCAGCCGCGGUAAUACGGAGGGUGCAAGCGUUAAUCGGAAUUACUGGGCGUAAAGCGCACGCAGGCGGUUUGUUAAGUCAGAUGUGAAAUCCCCGGGCUCAACCUGGGAACUGCAUUUGAAACUGGCAAGCUAGAGUCUCGUAGAGGGGGGUAGAAUUCCAGGUGUAGCGGUGAAAUGCGUAGAGAUCUGGAGGAAUACCGGUGGCGAAGGCGGCCCCCCUGGACGAAGACUGACGCUCAGGUG